UUUUUUUUUUUUUUUUUUCGCUUUUAGUUUUGUUCUUUUUUUAACUCUUUGAAUAUUUGCCAUAUACUGGAUACAGAGGGAGUGACCUCUCAGUCCGAGAGACCAGAAAAGAAAGUCAACUUAAGUCUCCGUGAUUCUGUGUGAAUUGCUCUCAAUAUACAUAAAAGCAA
rnacentral:ribozyme from 13 species